GGGGUUGUAGCUCAGUAAUAGAGCACUUGCCUCACAUGUGUGAGGCCCUGGGUUCAAUUCUCAGCACCA
rnacentral:tRNA from 1 species